UGGCAGACUAGAGUACUGUAGAGGGGGGUAGAAUUUCAGGUGUAGCGGUGAAAUGCGUAGAGAUCUGAAGGAAUACCGGUGGCGAAGGCGGCCCCCUGGACAGAUACUGACACUCAGAUGCGAAAGCGUGGGGAGCAAACAGGAUUAGAUACCCUGGUAGUCCACGCCGUAAACGAUGUCUACUUGGAGGUUGUGGCCUUGAGCCGUGGCUUUCGGAGCUAACGCGUUAAGUAGACCGCCUGGGGAGUACGGUCGCAAGAUUAAAACUCAAAUGAAUUGACGGGGGCCCGCACAAGCGGUGGAGCAUGUGGUUUAAUUCGAUGCAACGCGAAGAACCUUACCUACUCUUGACAUCCAGAGAACUUUCCAGAGAUGGAUUGGUGCCUUCGGGAACUCUGAGACAGGUGCUGCAUGGCUGUCGUCAGCUCGUGUUGUGAAAUGUUGGGUUAAGUCCCGCAACGAGCGCAACCCUUAUCCUUGUUUGCCAGCGAGUAAUGUCGGGAACUCCAGGGAGACUGCCGGUGAUAAACCGGAGGAAGGUGGGGACGACGCCAAGUCAUCAUGGCCCUUACGAGUAGGGCUACACACGUGCUACAAUGGCGCAUACAGAGGGCGGCCAACUUGCGAAAGUGAGCGAAUCCCAAAAAGUGCGUCGUAGUCCGGAUUGGAGUCUGCAACUCGACUCCAUGAAGUCGGAAUCGCUAGUAAUCGUGGAUCAGAAUGCCACGGUGAAUACGUUCCCGGGCCUUGUACACACCGCCCGUCACACCAUGGGAGUGGGCUGCAAAAGAAGUAGGUAGUUUAACCUUCGGGGGGACGCUUACCACUUUGUGGUUCAUGACUGGGGUGAAGUCGUAACAAGGUACCAAUCUCUAGAG
rnacentral:rRNA from 1 species